AGCCGGUCCCGGUCCGUGCCGUGCCGUGCCAGAGGAGGAGCGCGCAGGUUUUUCUCGGAGGGGCGCAGCGGCGAGACAAUAACGCCCAGAAGUUAUUGCAAUAAAUCGUCUCGGAAAGGAGGAGCUGACUGACGUGAGAAGAGGAAACAGAACUAGAAGCAGCAGCGUUGGGCCUCACUGCCGAGGAAAGAAAGGGAAGCACAACCCCCCUCCCAACAAGACAAGAGUGAUGAAAGAGAGGUCCAGACAUGAAGGAGGCACACACGCACACACACAGACACACAUUCAUGGCACCUAGAGUCUGUCUGCGGUCUACCACCAGCCUGCCACACACACCCAUGACUGCUACGGGCAGCAGAUUAAGUGGGUGACGCCAUUCCAGCUGUGAGGAGAUGGAAGAAGUCAACAGACACACACGCACACACACAGACACACACAGACGCACACAGACAGACACACGGAGCCCGGAGGCGCACGAGCAUUAAGUCAGGCAGCUAAACAGAUCACGUCGCGGUAUGAUAUCUGCAGACAGGCAGACAGAGGAGGCCGGUUUGUACCUGCAGGCGCGGAGCAACAACUCCCAGCACCCUCGCCAGGAAUUUCCUCCCCCUCCUGAGAGAGAGAGAGAGAGAGGUGGGGGAGCAACUGAAGGUGAGAGAAAGACAUAAAGUGGGAUUUCCACUGUCACGCAAAACACAUCAUUUGAAAACCUGAACACAAAGUGGCUGCAAAAUUAGAUUUUUUAUGAUCUGAAAAGGUUCAAGGUCACAGCAUCAGAUAUUUCUACUACUGAGACUCAUCGACUAGAAAAUUAAAUCUCAGAG